rnacentral:rRNA from 1 species
GCACAUACGAGUUGUGUUUAAAUAGAGCUUUGCUCGUGAACCAAAUCUGGUCGGCUGGGCCAACUAGGCGGAAAUGCUUGGUUGGUUUGUCGGCGAAUUGCAAUCAUCAUAUGGGCGGGGGUGAAUCCUUUGCAGACGACUUGAAUGGGAACGGGGUACUGUAAGCAGUAGAGUAGCCUUGUUGCUACGAUCUGCUGAGGUUAAGCCCUUGUUCUAUAGAUUUGU